CCUGGGAAAAGGAGACCUCAAACGCAAUAAGUUUAAAAAAAAUAAUGAAAAGGCAAAGAAAUACUACACAGGUGAAGGAAUAAACUAGAAACAUAGAAGUCCAAUAAAAUAAAGAGGAGAUAGGGAAUCUACCUGAAGAAGAAUUUAGAAUAAUGAUAAUA